rnacentral:lncRNA from 1 species
UGUUUCACCGUCCCUUCUUCUACAAGCACGUUGCACAACUUCUUGGAAAGGAUGCCAAGGAUGGUUUCCAGGCGUCAUUGCGAGGUUACGCCCCACUGCUGUUUAAGCACAUGAAAAGUGUAGUAAAGAGGGAUGUCAUCGAAUGGGUCAUCGAGACAGAGCGGGAGGUGUCAAAGGGCUGCAAGAACGCAAAGGAGGUGGCAUUUGUGCCAUUGUUGGCUGCGUAUUUUGGUGACAAAGAAGAGGCCCUCUUCAAGGUUUUCGAGCAUGGUACAAGUAUAACAGAAGUAGUUUCUGAGUUGC